rnacentral:rRNA from 1 species
CCUACGGGAGGCAGCAGUGGGGAAUAUUGCACAAUGGGGGGAACCCUGAUGCAGCGACGCCGCGUGAGUGAAGAAGUAUUUCGGUACGUAAAGCUCUAUCAGCAGGGAAGAAAAAAGGACGGUACCUGAGUAAGAAGCCCCGGCUAACUACGUGCCAGCAGCCGCGGUAAUACGUAGGGGGCAAGCGAUAUCCGGAAUUACGGGGUGGAAAGGGAGAGUAGACGGCAAGGCCAGUCCGGAGUGGAAUGCGGCGGCUCAACUGCAGAACUGCAAUGGAAACUGGAUGGCUUGAGUGCAGGUGAGGUAGGCGGAAUUCGUGGUGUAGCGGUGAAAUGCUUAGAUAUCAGGAGGAACUCCGAUGGCGAAGGCAGCUUACUAGACUGUCACUGACAUUGAUGCUCGAAAGUGUGGGUAUCAAACAGGAUUAGAUACCCGAGUAGUC